rfam:Oryza rufipogon genomic scaffold, chr09
AAAAAGAUAAACCCUGAUUUCCGUGUCCAAUUUUGACUGUCCGUUUUAUAUCCGUUUUAUAUGAACUUUAUUUAUAAUUCGUAUUUUUAUUGUUGUUAGAUGAUAAAACAUGAUUAAUAUUUUAUGCGUAACUUAUCUUUUUAAUUUUUUUCAUAAUUUUUUUAAAUAAGACGGACGGUCAAACAUUGGGCACGGAAACUAGUGUUUAUCCCUUUU